AUACGGAGGAUCCGAGCGUUAUCCGGAUUUAUUGGGUUUAAAGGGUGCGCAGGCGGGAGAUUCAGUCGGCGGUGAAAUUUUGCAGCUCAACUGUAAAAGGGCCUUCGAAACUGGUUUCCUUGAGUGUAGAUGAAGUAGGCGGAAUUUGUGGUGUAGCGGUGAAAUGCAUAGAUAUCACGAGGAACUCCGAUUGCGCAGGCAGCUUACUAAACUACUACUGACGCUCAGGCACGAAGGCGUGGGGAUCAAACAGGAUUAGAUACCCUGGUAGUCCACGCAGUAAACGAUGAUUACUAGCUGUUUGCGAUACAAUGUAAGCGGCUGAGCGAAAGCGUUAAGUAAUCCACCUGGGGAGUACGUUCGCAAGAAUGAAACUCAAAUGAAUUGACGGGG
rnacentral:rRNA from 1 species